GGCAAUGGUGGACUUGGUGGCUUGUAAGGCGGUGCUGGAGUUGUUGGUGGCUUAACUGGAGGUGUAGGAACUGGGGGCUUAUAUGGGGGAGUUGGUGCUUUAGUUGGUGGUGCUGGUGCUGGAGUUGGUGCUUUGGUUGGGGGUGCUGGAGCAGGUGUUGGGGGCUUAUAUGGGGGUGUAGGGGCCUUGACUGGAGGUGCCGGUGCGGGAGUAGGGGGUUUAUAUGGGGGAGUAGGAGCCUUGGUUGGUGGUGUUGGUGCUGGGGGCUUAUAUGGUGGAGUAGGAGCCUUGGUUGGUGGCGCAGGAGCUGGGGGCUUAUAUGGUGGAGUAGGAGCCUUGGUUGGUGGCGCAGGAGCUGGUGGUUUAUAUGGUGGAGUGGGGGCCUUGGUUGGUGGUUUAUAUGGUGGAGUGGGGGCCUUGGUUGGGGGUGCUGGAGUUGGGGCCUUGUACGGCGGUGCCGGAGUGGUGGGAGGCUUAACGGGUGGAGCAGGGAUAGGUGCCUUCACUGGAACAG
rnacentral:lncRNA from 1 species